rnacentral:misc_RNA from 1 species
GACGAAGAACGCAGCGAAAUGCGAUAAGUAGUGUGAAUUGCAGAAUUCAGUGAAUCAUCGAAUCUUUGAACGCACAUUGCGCCCUUUGGUAUUCCAAAGGGCAUGCCUGUUCGAGCGUCAUUUGUACCCUCAAGCUUUGCUUGGUGUUGGGCGUCUUGUCUCUAGCUUUGCUGGAGACUCGCCUUAAAGUAAUUGGCAGCCGGCCUACUGGUUUCGGAGCGCAGCACAAGUCGCACUCUCUAUCAGCAAAGGUCUAGCAUCCAUUAAGCCUUUUUUUUCAACUUUUGACCUCGGAUCAGGUAGGGAUACCCGCUGAACUUAAGCAUAUCAAUAAGCGGAGGA